rnacentral:rRNA from 1 species
UACGGAGGGAGCUAGCGUUGUUCGGAUCUACUGGGCGUAAAGCGCACGUAGGCGGCGCCGUAAGUCAGGGGUGAAAUCCCGGAGCUCAACUCCGGAACUGCCCUUGAAACUGCAGUGCUAGAAUCUUGGAGAGGCGAGUGGAAUUCCGAGUGUAGAGGUGAAAUUCGUAGAUAUCGGGAGGAACACCGGUGGCGAAGGCGGCGACCUGGGUAGAUACUGACGCUGAGGCGCGAAAGCGUGGGGAGCAAACAGG